UUUAUUCUUGUCUUAUUGUUUUGGCUAAAAUGUAAUAUCAGAAUAAAAACUCUUAUAAAUGAGGGAGGUGGUAAUUUCCUUGAUCUGAUAAAGGGUACUGACUGACCAAAAAUUAUAGCACAUAUCAUAUGUAAUGGUAAACUUAACAGUAAAAAUUUUAAGUGCGUUUCCCUUAAAAUCAGGAAAAAAGACAUCUCUUAACUCCAUCUCCUACUACUCAAUAUCAUGUAUCAAGUAGCUUUUUUGGAAGAUAUGUUUGUUCACAUUAAGGAAAUUCUUUUUGAUUUCUAGCUAGCUAAUAGCCUUUUGUGUAUAGUGCUAAAUGCUAUUCAAAUUCUAUAUGUGUUGAGUUAGUCAUAUGCAUUUUUUAUCUUCAAGCUGUUAAUAUAGGUAGUUUUUUUUAAAGAAGGGUUUGAUGCUAAACCAUCCUUGCAUCUCUGGAAUAAAUUCUUUUUUUUGAAAAUGACAUAUUUUAAUAUACUGCUGGAUUCAACUUACUAAAUUUUGUUUGGUUUCUUCUCUUUAUUCAUUCAUGAAAUAAGUCUGCUUUACUUUUUGGCUUGUCAUUUUGUAUUUGCAUCAUCAAGGCUACAUUAGUCUCAUAUAAUACAACAAAUAGGAAGGUCUUGCUCUAAUUUUAUGUUUCUUUAAACGCAUUGUAUAAAAUUUUCUUUCCCUGAAGAUUAAGUAAAACUGGGUUACAUGAUGUCAGUCCUUUGAAAACAAUAGCUAGAAUAGAGUCAAUGGUAAAUGUUCCAUGAAAAGAAGAGAAAAUGUAGAUAGAAAUGAAGUACAUGUAUGAAGAUUUGAAUUAGGUGUCAACAUAUCUUAUAUACAAACAGAGAUAUGAAAAAUUGUGGUAUAUAUGGUAUUAAGAAUUGUAAUGCAAAAAAAUACAUGUAUAAUGGCAUAAAUUGGCGUGAACAUACGUAUAUAUACAGAGAUACGAAAAAUUGUGCUCUAUAUGUGUAAUAAGGAUUGUAAUGCAUUCCACUGUUGUUGUGUAUUUAGAAAAAUAAAAUCAACAAAAAUAAAUAAAUAAAUAAAAAUACCAAAUACAUAUGUUAAAAAAU
rnacentral:lncRNA from 1 species